GAUGAACGCUAGCGGGAGGCUUAACACAUGCAAGUCGAGGGGUAAAUGGUAGCAAUACUAUGAGACCGGCGGACGGGUGCGUAACGCGUAUGCAACAUACCUUGUGCAGGGGGAUAGCCCGUGGAAACGCGGAUUAAUAUUCCAUAGUCCAGCUAUAUCGCAUGGUAUAGUUGGCAAAGAUUUAUCGGCACAAGUUUGGCAUGCGUCUGAUUAGCUUGUUGGUAGGGUAACGGCCUACCAAGGCUACGAUCAGUAGGGGUUCUGAGAGGAUUAACCCCCACACUGGUACUGAGACACGGACCAGACUCCUACGGGAGGCAGCAGUGAGGAAUAUUGGUCAAUGGGCGAAAGCCCGAUGCAGCAACGCCGCGUGCACGAUGAAGGCCUUCGGUUGUAAGUGCUUUUCUGCAGGAAGAGGAAGGACUGUACUGUAGGAAUAAGGAUCGGCUAACUACGUG
rnacentral:rRNA from 1 species